GAUAAACGCUGGCGGCGUACAUAAGACAUGCAAGUCGAACGGGAGAAGACAGGAAGAUUUAUCUACUUGUUGGACACCGUGGCGGACGGGUGAGUAACACGUAAGCAACCUGCCUAUAAGAGGGGAAUAACAGUGAGAAAUUACUGAUAAUACCGCAUAAGCUGGAGGUAUCGCAUGAUACAUUCAGAAAAGAUUUAUCGCUUAUAGAUGGGCUUGCGUCUGAUUAGCUAGUUGGUGAGAUAACAGCUCACCAAGGCGACGAUCAGUAGCCGGAUUGAGAGGUGAACGGCCACAUUGGGACUGAGACACGGCCC
rnacentral:rRNA from 1 species